rnacentral:rRNA from 1 species
AGUUCCGGGCUGCACGCGCGCUACACUGACAGAGACAACGAGUGAGGCCCCUUGUCCGAAAUGACUGGGUAAACUUGUGAAACUUUGUCGUGCUGGGGAUGGAGCUUUGUAAUUUUUGCUCUUCAACGAGGAAUUCCUAGUAAGCGCAAGUCAUCAGCUUGCGUUGACUACGUCCCUGCCCUUUGUACACACCGCCCGUCGCUACUACCGAUUGAAUGGCUUAGUGAGGACUUGGGAGAGUACGUCGGGGAGCCAGCAAUGGCACCCUGAUGGCUCAAACUCUUACAAACUUGGUCAUUUAGAGGAAGUAAAAGUCGUAACAAGGUAUCUGUAGGUGAACCUGCAGAUGGAUCAUUUCGAUGAAAAACCUUUUUUCUUGAGGUGUGGCUCGCACCUGUCUAACUAAACUUGAGCUACCCCCUUUUAACACGGUUGCAUCGGUUGGCUGUCCAACAGCGCGGACCUCGCGUUCGCUGCUGGAAAGGCGGUCGACACUUUUUACACCAAAACACUUUUGAUGAUCUAGGAGUUGAAUGAAAAAAAAGUUUAAUUUUUUAACUAAAAAACAACUUUUGGCAACGGAUCUCUUGGUUCUCCCAUCGAUGAAGAACGCAGCGAAUUGCGAUAAGUAAUGUGAAUUGCAGAAGUGAAUCAUCGAAUCUUUGAACGCACCUUGCGCUCCCUGCAGAUCUAAUCUGGGGAGCAUGCCUGUUUGAGGGCCGCGAAUUGUUUCCAACGGCAGCUUUCUUCCUUUUUUUUGCCAAAAAAAUUGGCGGGAUCGGUAGUGAGGGGGUUGCCAGUUACCAUGGCUCCCCUCCAAAAUGCAUUAACGCCAUCCCUUUUUAAAAGGCAAGGGACGGGGCGAAAAACCUCCCCUUUUUUUCCCCCCUCCCUCUUUCCUCCCUGGGCCGGGG